rnacentral:rRNA from 1 species
GACGAACGCUGGCGGCGUGCUUAACACAUGCAAGUCGAACGGUAAGGCCCUUCGGGGUACACGAGUGGCGAACGGGUGAGUAACACGUGGGCGAUCUGCCCUGCACUUCGGGAUAAGCCUGGGAAACUGGGUCUAAUACCGGAUAGGACCACUGCCUGGCAGGGUGGAGGUGGAAAGCUUUAAGGGUGUGGGAUGGGCCCGCGGUCUAUCAGCUUGUUGGUGGGGUGAUGGCCUACCAAGGCGACGACGGGUAGCCGGCCUGAGAGGGUGACCGGCCACACUGGGACUGAGAUACGGCCCAGACUCCUACGGGAGGCAGCAGUGGGGAAUAUUGCACAAUGGGCGCAAGCCUGAUGCAGCGACGCCGCGUGAGGGAUGACGGCCUUCGGGUUGUAAACCUCUUUCAGCACCGACGAAGCGCAAGUGACGGUAGGUGCAGAAGAAGGACCGGCCAACUACGUGCCAGCAGCCGCCGCCG